rnacentral:rRNA from 1 species
AUUGAACGCUGGCGGCAGGCCUAACACAUGCAAGUCGAGCGAGCGGCGGACGGGUGAGUAAUGUCUGGGAAACUGCCUGAUGGAGGGGGAUAACAACUGGAAACGGUAGCUAAUACCGCAUACCAUCAGAUGUGCCCAGAUGGGAUUAGCUAGUAGGUGGGGUAACGGCUCACCUAGGGGACGAUCCCUAGCUGGUCUGAGAGGAUGACCAGCCACACGGGACCUGAGCAACGGUGCAGACUCCUACGGAAGGCAGCAGUGGGGAAUAUUGCACAAUGGCCGCAAGCCUGAUGCAGCCAUGCCGCGUGUGUGAAGAAGGCCUUCGGGUUGUAAAGCACUUUCGGCGGGGAGGCGGUACCCGCCUAAGAAGCACCGGCUAACUCCGUGCCAGCAGCCGCGGUAAUUC